ensembl:snRNA U6 U6 spliceosomal RNA
GUGCUCACUUCAGCAGCACAUAUACUAAAAUUGGAACAAUGCAGAGAAGAUUAGCAUAGUCCCUGUACAAUGAUGAUACCCAAAUUUUGUGACACAUUCCAUAUUUUU